rnacentral:lncRNA from 1 species
AACCGCCCGACCCCGGAGCCCAAGCUCUGCGCCGCUGCAGGGGAGGACGCGGCGGGGCAGGCAGGAAUCAGCGCUGCAGUCCCCGCGAGCGGCCAACGCGGGCCGCCCGGGGUCGGAGGGGAUCACCCCGCCGAGGCUCCCCGCCCCUUCCUCCCCUUCCCCUUCUCCUUUUCCGCGCCGCCGAGUCGGAGCCGCGCUGCUCGCCCGGCGGCCGCCCAGACCGCCCGCUCCCCCCCGGCUGCCCGCGCGGGGCCCCGGGAGCGGGCCCCAGAACUUUCCAGGGAGGAGAGGCUCGCGGGCGAGGCGGGAGGACUGGAAGGUGAGGCGCGCGGCGGCGGCGGCGGCGGCGGGAGGGGGGGGCGGGGGGAGCGGGGGGCGGGGGGCGGGGCGCGCGCGCAGGUGCACGCGGGGCGGCGGCCGCGGGGCUGCAGGUGCGGGAGGCCGGCGGGGCGCGGCGGGGCGCGGCGGGGCCCGAGGCCGAGGGCCUGGCCGUUCCCGCGUGCUGCGGGGCGCGCUGGCCGCGGGCGGCGCCUCCGUGCGGCUCGGGGCGCGCUUCCCCUUUCUCCGGGGCCGGCGGCGCUCGCUCCUGCGCGGGGCGGGGCGGGGCCGGUGACGCGGGAGCCGAGGGGCCGCCACCUACCGCCCGCCCCGCGGUGCCCGGGCGGGGGCGCGCCGAGGCCGGGAGCGGGGGGUGCGGGGAUGUCUGCGAUCACCGCAGGGAAUUUCUCAGCCACCCCAAAGGCGAGAAUCUCCACUUCAACCGUAGCUUGUCCCCUGAGGGACCGAGGUGAUGGGAAGAACAUGACGGAGUGGCGGCGGGGGAGCCCCCCAGACUUCGGGAGAAAGGGGCCCGGGGCCGUGGCGCUCGCCGACAGCCUGGACGAGGCCCGGGGGGGGGGGGGGGCGCAGCCUGUGCAGGUGCGCGGCGGUGCUCUGGCCGGCGACGGCGCCCCUGCUUCGCGGCCCGAGCUGGGGGCGGGCGGAGCCAGGGACAGUGACCCCUCGGUGCCGGUUUCGCCUACUUAA